rnacentral:lncRNA from 1 species
CUUUGGUGAUAUAAAAUGCAAUAUUUUCAGGCAGCUAUUGAGCUUUUCCAGAGGAAGGGCGAUGAGAAGAGUCGCAGCUGAAUAGUGGGAGAAAAAGCCUGGUAUUUAUUGCUUUUGUUUGGCUUUUGGCUACAGAGACAGGAACCUUCUAAUGGGGAGACAAAUUUGGUUGGUAGGCCAAAGAGCUCACAAGGACCAACACCCCUCCCCCCUUCGAGGGUCAGGAAUCAGCUUGAAGCACAAGGAUCUUCAUUUACUAGGUUCAGUGAAGGUCUCUGCAGAGCAACCCAGGGAAGACCCUAUGACAAGGAAAAUGUAGCAACAGCGCGGAUGUAGAGACGAAUCCCCACGGUUGGCAGAAGCAUGAUCAUGUCUUCAUCUGAAUAUAAUGAAGAAAUAAUGGAUCCGAAAUCUGCUAUCAAAGGAGUUGUGAAGAGCGGCACUUGUCAGCAUAAUGUAUACUGUAUGGUGGAUACCUUACAGGAGAUACCAGGGAGUUUGGAGUAGCUCAAUGGUAGGGGCUAGUGAACAGAUCCUAGUACUUGUAAUGCUAACACUGGUGUGUUAUGUGGAGUUCUGAGAUAAUCCUCGGUGCCUGAUGGUGUUUUAUAGCCCUCCCUUCUUGAGUAUGAAUGGUACCCAUAACUUGCUUCUACCUGCAAGACAUAGUAAGGACAAAUACGAUAUUACCUCUGCAAUUAUGCUGAAUCAAAUGGGAAAUCAUAGGGAUUUUUUUGGCACAUAAAAUUAAAAAAUUUCAUCAAUUUAGUUUU